AUCGCAUCGAAUCGGCCGAAUCGAUCGAUUUACGAUCACCAACGCACACCUGACCGACCAUAGAGUGGCGCCGAUCGAAACGCGGGUAUGCACGCGCUCAUUCCCGCAUUAUUCGUCGCGUAUAAGUGGGAACGUACACACAUGGGUGCAAGUUAGGUCGCACGGCUGACCCAGAUAUGCGCGCAGCGUCGCGUCGUCGCGCGAAGCGAAACGCGAUUGAAACAGCCCGCUCUAGAUUUCGCCGCCGUUUGUCGUAUCAUCGGCCAUCGUAUCGCGCGAAAUAUCGUCACGCGACGUCUUCUACUGGGAUCCUGAUCUAUACAGAAGUGUACGAUCGAUCUACUAACUAUGCUAAUAGGCGUAGCUACGUGCAAGUUGCUACGAAGUCGCUCGACGGUACAAACUUUAUGGCGUCUAUUCAGAGUGUUUUUAAAGCGAAAAAUGUCACAUAGAAUGGGCUUGGAAGGUUAGUUAAACGCUCCGAGUAACAUCGUUUAGGUUUGGCAGAGGAAAUGUAACGUGAGUUCUAAAAAGGAGUAACUGCGACGAUCGUAGUGCAGAACGUUUGAUUACGUUUGACAGAAUGUGAUGUAAAAUCGUAGGUGGGUAGAAGCAGCUGAUUUUUAUUAUUUUGUCGUUGUUACGUUAUGUUUGUAAGUGUAUAGGUGUACGCAUAUAUCGUCUAUGAAUUGGAGAUGUAAUUUAAGAAAUUGUGAAAGAACGAGUCGAAGAUGUGAGAUCUCGUCUCAAGUUUGAGAGAAUGUGACUUGAAUCGCGGCUACGAGCAACCAUGCAACCGUCUUGUUAUUUAUUCGUUGUUGAUGUACGUUGUACAUGGUGCAGAGUGUUUUUAAAGCGAAAAAUGUCACAUAGAAUGGGCUUGGAAGGUUAGUUAAACGCUCCGAGUAACAUCGUUUAGGUUUGGCAGAGGAAAUGUAACGUGAGUUCUAGAAAGGAGUAACUGCGACGAUCGUGGUACAGGACGCCUCUAAAUUGGAGAUACAAUAGAGAAAGGGGUGGAGAAAAUCAAUUGGAUAUCGUAAAGUAAGGUUUUCCGCUGAGAAUAUGAUCCACAUUGUUCAUAUAAAUAUAUUACAAUGAUUUUGUUAUUUAAUCGUUGUUAUUAAAGUUACGGUAACGUUUACCUCGAGAGGCCACAAUGUGAAAAUUGUUAGAUCGCCAAUUUCUGAAACGUAACAAUUUCUUCGCUCGUGAAUCCCCUAUUUUCUAAUAUCUUAAAUCUCACAUUGAUUAAUUAAUAUUUUCCAAAUUUCUAAAAACCUUCGCUAACCCGAACGCUAAUUUACAACCUGUAAAUCCAUUUGUAUGCACAUAGAGUUACAAAUUGGUCAAACCUUUAAAUAUUUGGUCGUCCGGAAAGUUUCUUUCGUUUC